CUGGUGUUCGGGUUGUCAUGCCAAUGGCACUGCCCGGUAGCUAAAUGCGGAAGAGAUAAGUGCUGAAAGCAUCUAAGCACGAAACUUGCCCCGAGAUGAGUUCUCCCUGAGACUAUAAGUCUCCUGAAGGAACGUUAAAGACGAUGACGUUGAUAGGCCGGGUGUGUAAGCGCAGCGAUGCGUUGAGCUAACCGGUACUAAUGAACCGUGAGGCUUAACCUUACAACGCCGAAG
rnacentral:rRNA from 1 species